UGGCUGUGACACAGACUGCGGGCUGUCCCUCCUAAAUCCUACGCUUCCUCAGUAAUAGAACCCCCAGUUUUUAGAUAAGCACACGGCUGCUUAAAAUGAAGACUACGUUUCCCCGGCUCUCUUGUCACCUGUGAUGACCAUCUACAUUCAAAUUCUUCAUUUACUGUGAUCACAAUUUUUGGCACAUAUAUCUUUACGUGCAUCUAAGGAAAGUUACAACAAAUUUGAUUCUGUCUUUAUUGCAAAAAGAAAUUUUCACAAGAUGUAUUUAAUGACCACAUUAUGUAAGGGAUAAAAACUGAGUGACAAGACAACCAAAACAGCUUUUGUAUUCCUUAUGCAAAGCCUACUUCAUGCAUCAAAUAAUGCCCAGAACAAUGUCUAAACAUGUACGGAAAGAAAAAUAGCACCCACCUCCUCAAUAAUUAUGGAGCUUCGUAGCCCUGUGAUGAUGUACAUUUAGGAUUAUUCUGGUAGCUACUAAAUCAAAACAAGACAGCGGAGAUCAAUCAGGAUCUUAGGAACCAGAG